GAUCAUGGCUCAGGAUGAACGCUGGCGGCGCGCCUAACACAUGCAAGUCGAACGGACGAUGAAAAGCUUGCUUUUCAAAGUUAGUAGGCGGACGGGUGAGUAACGCGUGGGUAACCUGCCUCAUACAGGGGAAUAGCAGCUGGGAAACGGCUGAUAAAACCGCAUAAGCGCACAGUGCCGCAUGGCACAGUGUGAAAAACUCCGGUGGUAAUGAGAUGGACCCGCGUCUGAUUAG
rnacentral:rRNA from 1 species